rnacentral:rRNA from 1 species
AUUGAACGCUGGCGGCAGGCCUAACACAUGCAAGUCGAGCGGUAGCACAGAGAGCUUGCUCUCGGGUGACGAGCGGCGGACGGGUGAGUAAUGUCUGGGAAACUGCCUGAUGGAGGGGGAUAACUACUGGAAACGGUAGCUAAUACCGCAUAACGUCGCAAGACCAAAGUGGGGGACCUUCGGGCCUCAUGCCAUCAGAUGUGCCCAGAUGGGAUUAGCUAGUAGGUGGGGUAACGGCUCACCUAGGCGACGAUCCCUAGCUGGUCUGAGAGGAUGACCAGCCACACUGGAACUGAGACACGGUCCAGACUCCUACGGGAGGCAGCAGUGGGGAAUAUGCACAAUGGGCGCAAGCCUGAUGCAGCCAUGCCGCGUGUGUGAAGAAGGCCUUCGGGUUGUAAAGCACUUUCAGCGGGGAGGAAGGCGUUAAGGUUAUUAACCUUGGCGAUUGACGUUACCCGCAGAAGAAGCACCGGCUAACUCCGUGCCAGCCGCCGCAGUAA